UACGUAGGGUGCGAGCGUUGUCCGGAAUUAUUGGGCGUAAAGGGCUCGUAGGCGGUUUGUCACGUCGGGAGUGAAAACUCGGGGCUUAACCCCGAGCCUGCUUCCGAUACGGGCAGACUAGAGGUAUGCAGGGGAGAACGGAAUUCCUGGUGUAGCGGUGAAAUGCGCAGAUAUCAGGAGGAACACCGGUGGCGAAGGCGGUUCUCUGGGACGGUACUGACGCUGAGACGCGAAAGCGUGGGGAGCGAACAGG
rnacentral:rRNA from 1 species